GUCUCUCGAUGGUGCAGUGAUGGUAGCACGCAUCCUUGAUAUGUAUGAAAUACGGGUUCGAUUCCAGCCCAGGGCA